AUGUACAAGCCAACGUAAGAUACUUUUUAUAAGUUUUUUUCCAACAAGAAGUAAUAAUAACUUUAUUUGUUACCUGCAAGUGCCUCGUGAACAUUUUUUGGAAGCAACUCCGCAAAUGCAAAUGGUAGAAGUCGUUGCAUAAACACAUGACAGUCAUGACUCUUCAUCUCUAAAAAUUUUUGUCUCUGCUGAUCAACACAUCUUGAUAGAUUUGAAACAUAUCCAUAAAAAAACUUCACAUCUG
rnacentral:lncRNA from 1 species